AGGUAAGUAGCAUGCUUCCUAUGAUGGCCAGAGGUAAGUAGCAUGCUUCCUAUGAUGGCCAGAGGUGAGUAGCAUGCUUCCUAUGAUGGCCAGAGGUGAGUAGCAUGCUUCCUAUGAUGGCCAGAGGUGAGUAGCAUGCUUCCUAUGAUGGCCAGAGGUGAGUAGCAUGCUUCCUAUGAUGGCCAGAGGUGAGUAGCAUGCUUCCUAUGAUGGCCAGAGGUAAGUAGCAUGCUUUCUAUGAUGGCCAGA